UACGUAGGGUCCGAGCGUUGUCCGGAAUUACUGGGCGUAAAGAGCUCGUAGGUGGUUUGUCGCGUUGUUCGUGAAAACUCACAGCUUAACUGUGGGCGUGCGGGCGAUACGGGCAGACUGGAGUACUGCAGGGGAGACUGGAAUUCCUGGUGUAGCGGUGAAAUGCGUAGAUAUCUGGAGGAACACCGGUGGCGAAGGCGGGUCUCUGGGCAGUAACUGACGCUGAGGAGCGAAAGCGUGGGGAGCGAACAGG
rnacentral:rRNA from 1 species